GAUCAAAGUUGUACAUGAGAAUAUAUAGGACCAAAACCUAUUAAAAAUCGUCUCAAGAACCCUUGGGCCAGAAAAGUUGAAACAUUUGUGAAAGCUUCAUUACAUAGUGUAAAUUCAAGUUUUUUUCAGAUCAUGAACCAUGGGGUGGGGUGGGGCCACAAUAGACUAUCAAAGUUAAACAUAGAAAUGCAUAGAAAAAAUCGUUAAAAAUCUUAUUUCACAAGAACAGCAAAGUCAUGAUUAGUCGUCAUAUUGGUAUGGAAGCAUCUGCAUGUAGUGUGGAUUUAAGUUUGUUCAAAUCGUGACUUCUGGGAGUAGGUUGGCACCACAAUAAACAAUUGAAGUUUUACAUAGCAAUAUAUAGGGAAAAAAUUUUUUCUCAGGAACAGCAAAGGUAUGACUAGUCAUAUUAAUACGGAAGUAUCCUCAGGUAGUAGAAAAAUUAUGUUGUGAUUUGUCAUACCAAAAAGCAUUUAACCAUUUAUUUAUAUUAAAACUAUUUUUAAGGAAUCAUAAUUAUUAAAAUUGUGCCAUGUCAAGUUCUUUAUUUAAAAAUUUGAAACAUAUAUAUCAUUUCAAGAUUAGAAAUUUUCAGAUGAGAUCAAAAUUCACACAAUCCAGAAAAUGUCCAGUAAAACAUGCUUAUAGUGAGUGCCCUGACCAAUUUUGAUUUGUUACAAACAUAAAUGGCUAUAUUCAGUAAGUUUAAAAAAGUUAUUUAAUAAUACAUGGAAUGAAAAUCUCUUAGCUCUGUAAAGAGUGAAUUCAUUAUAAUUGUGUUCACUAUAACUGUGUUUUACUGUAUGACAAUUCAAUAUUUAAUGCAUAGUUUUCAAGAUGACCAAUGAGCACCUUGCACAAGAAGUAUAUUUGUAUUAAAAUUUAAUUUAUGCUUUUAAAUGAACCAAAAAGGGUAUCUUUCUGCUAUUUGAUCUGUUAAUUUUUUUUUUGUUUUUGUUUUUGCAAAUAUUCAAAAAUAAGUCCAUUUCUUAAGUGCAAGAUUCUUUUUUUUUUCUUUGAAGUUUUGCAGUAUUUGUUCUGUGUGAUGUAAAUUUUCUUUUCCCAGAUAGUUUAUCUCCAUUUACUUGUAACUUGUUACACGAUUUUGGUACCAUUUCUCAUAAAAAAAAAUCAACUUUUGCCAAAAUAUGUGUGAAUAUGCAAAUGUUUUUGUCAUGCAAAUCAUUAUCAUCAACCUAGCAGUUAUAUUUUUCUACAGAUAGAUAUUUUUAUAUUCAUGUAGAAUUAUUUAUUCAAGAGUUGCUAAUUCUCGUAAGCAGAUUUUAUGUAGAUUUUGUGUAGAAAUCUGGAACACUGGUACAUGGAAUUUGAAACAUUCCUGUAACACUAUGGCUUUGGAUUUUGUUUUUCUAGGCAUUAUAAAAUAAUAUACCGGUAGAAUUAAAAUAAUGAUGAAAAAGAUUGUGGUCCCCAAGUAUUUAAAAUUAUAGUAUAUAGAGCAUUAAAAUUAAUAAAUAGGACAAUUUUAAUGCAGGCAGUUGUUUGAGAGGAUACUGUCAGACUGUUUGUGGGUAGAAUGUCCCCCUUCCCCUGAAACAACUAUUAAAGUUUUGUAAAUAUAAAUAGUGUAAAACUUUCAGGGGCUAUAACUAAUACUAGGGGGUCGAUGAAUCAUUUCACAAGGAAUAGAUUGAAGAGUCUACAUUGAACGGAUGUAAAUUAACUUCUCAUCUCCUUGUAAUAUUUUCAACAUGUUUGAGGAAAUUCACAAUCCUUAAUAUACAAUUUUAUUCCCCCCAUUCCUUACAUUUGUUGAUACCAUACCAGUGCUGCUCUUUAUAUAUAAUUUUUCUUUUUUGCUUUGUUUAUACAAUACUUUUUAUGCGUCUUUUCUACAACUUUCUAAACUGUUUAUAUUUGUAUGUGAUUUUAGCUUUAUGUAGUUCUGAGGGUGGUGGGAACACACACUAUUUUUACCCUCACUAAGAACUAGAGUUAUCUUUCUUGUGUUGCGUUUUGUAUAUUCUAUUAAUAUAAACACUUGUUCAUCCAAAGCAAUAGAUUUCCUAAUUUUCUUUAAAAUCUUGUAGCAUUAUCCAAUUUUAAAAAUUCAUUUAAAAAAAAAAAAAAAAAAAAGAAAUAUUGGAGGUGGUAUAGAGUUUGAAUGAAUCUAUCGAGCAUCUUUUAGAAUGUAAAAUUACCAUUGACAUAUGUUUAUGUUAAAUUGUAACUGAUUCACUCUUAUUCACUUUGAUCAGAUGUCUAAGUAUUAUUGACAAUCUUACAUCUGUAUAAUGAAUAUAUCCAAGCAUGGAGUAUUACAACACAUAUAUUUUGAAAGCUCAAACUAACAAGCAAUCACACAACUACCACAAUUGUUUGAUUUAUAUGCUAGAUAAAAUUGCAAUAACAAGUAAUUUAUUUCUUGUUCUACAUUGUAACUCAUCACUCAUAAAAUUUAAUAUACUUGAUCUACAUAUAAAGCUUCCAACUAUAAGUUUGCUACAGUGAUUUUUCUACAAGUUUGUUGUACAAGCAAUGUAUAAGUGUUAAUUUCCCUAUGUGUCAUUUUUUUUUUAGUUCUGAUUUCUUAUAUAUACUGUGUAUAUUUAUUCCAAUAGGUCUUGUUAUCGUAUGGGGAAAUGUUAUGUUUCAAAAUAAAAUUACGGCUUUGCUGCAUAUGCUA